AAGAAUUAACUGAUAAUCACAUUUAACAAGGACAGGAACAGGAAAAACCAAAUAAGGACACAAGAGGCAGGAACACAAGACACACACGACGACACAGAUACCAUAUCAUAUGAAUAUGGCAAUUACUAUCAUGAUAUUGCCAUCUGAUACAGUCCUCUUUGGCUCUUUUACUAAGGAGAAGCAGUUGCUGAAGCAGUUGGCAGAGAAACGGAAGCGUGAGAAGGACCUUGGAGGUCAAAAACAACUACAGCAAGAUGACCGAGCAUGGCCCGUCUUAAUGCUCUUCAGCAGUGUCUGAGAGGGAAGGAGCUUCAUGCUGCAGAAGUCCGUAAGAAUAAGGAAUUUCACACUGAGAUCUCUGGCUGAGGACACUCUUUGACGCCAGAGCCGUGAGACGUCCAAUCAUGACUGCAUUUGGAGUAGAUCUCAUUCUCUGGCCACACUGUCUUAAGAGGUCAUAUCAGACUCACCUUAUCAGUUUUCAUUAUCAAUAAAUGUCUGAGCUUAUAACAGCAUCCCCCAUACACGACAUGGACAAAAGUAUGUGAGCACCCAAACACCACACCCAUACAUGAUUGUUGAUUGUUUAAUUUCAGAAGCAUGGACAUUAAUAGGUAAUCCGUUCUUCAUAAAAUGUCUAGAUCUUCUGGGAGUCAUUAUUCCAGUUCAUCCCAAAGGUAUUCAGAUCUGGACUUUGUGUAGGCCAGUCAAGAUCUUUCGCAUUUCUUGAUGGACCUUGACUUGUGUGAUGUUCCUGGAUCAACAUCUUCUGUUGAUCCUAGAACAAGAAGUCUUAUGCCUAUCCCUAUAUCCAACCUUUAUCACAAAUUAUGGCUAAAAUCAGAGGGAAGUUGAUAAGAAUGUCGCUCAAGCUCCAGUCCUCAGCCACACCCUAAACAAACCCUUUUACCUAUUCCUAAAAUCUGAUUGGCUGAUGUUGAUCCAGGAAGGAACAUGCCCUACUAGGCAGAAUCGCAGUCACCUGCUUUGUGCACAAGGACUUUGUCAUGCUGAAACUGAAAAGCAUUGUCCAGAGAUGUUGGACAUUCUCCAGAAUGUUACUGUAUGGAGUAGAAUUAAGAUUUGGAGUUAUUUGACUAGCCAAAUGCAUUUAUUGUAAAGAGGUGUCCACAUACUUUUGACCAUGAAGUUUAUCUGCCUGCUGAUAAAAAAAACAACUUGGACCAGCUUAAAGACUUGUUUUUAGAUUGGCAUUAGUGGUAUGUUACUCUGACACAAGCUGAUUAAGAGGGUUGUUGCGAUACACCAUCUAGACGAGUGGUUAAGAUAAAACCAGCUUGAAACUGUCAAAACAUACCUUAUUUGUAACCAUCAAUGGUACAAUCUGGUCAUUUAGUCUGGUCUAGGCUGUUAUUUAGUAGGGUUGAAUCUCACAAAACAAAUACCAUGGCUGUAUCCACAUUUACACUGCACUUUAUAGGAUGAUUCAUUCACGUUGGUAGAUUAGAUAAAUUUCAAGGGUCACUGACUCAGACUUGUUGGUUUGUUUUUCAGUGACCUAAAGAAAAAUGUCUAAGCUAUAUGCUGCUAACUGAUUACUGAAAACCAUUUAAAAUAAGAUUAAAGCAUAAGUUCGUAAGAAGGUGUCUCUGUCAUGUUUGCAACUGAGGGAAACUAAGACCACAUCCAACAGAUAAUUUAUGUUGGCAACACUUCAGAAUAUCUAAGUUGUUUAUCACCAUCUAUAGCAAUUUUGUGUCUCCUGAGUAUCCGUGAAGUUUCUAUAUCUUGCAAGUUUUUGACCUGGUAUUGAAUAUGGAAAGUACUGACAUAGUAGUUUCUGAAUAUAGUUUCUAAAC